GGGAUUGCCCUAGUAACGGCGAGUGAAGCGGCAACAGCUCAAAUUUGAAAUCUGGCCCUAGGCCCGAGUUGUAAUUUGCAGAGGAUGCUUUUGGUGACGCGCUUACCGAGUCCCCUGGAACGGGGCGCCACAGAGGGUGAGAGCCCCGUAUGGUUUGACGCCGAGCCUCUGUAAAGCUCCUUCGACGAGUCGAGUAGUUUGGGAAUGCUGCUCUAAAUGGGAGGUAAAUUUCUUCUAAAGCUAAAUACCGGCCAGAGACCGAUAGCGCACAAGUAGAGUGAUCGAAAGAUGAAAAGCACUUUGAAAAGAGGGUUAAAUAGCACGUGAAAUUGUUGAAAGGGAAGCGCUCGUGACCAGACUUGCGCCGGGCGGAUCAUCCAGCGUUCUCGCUGGUGCACUCCGCCCGGCUCAGGCCAGCAUCGGUUUUCGCCGGGGGACAAAAGCUUCGGGAACGUAGCUCCUUUCGGGGAGUGUUAUAGCCCGUUGCGUAAUACCCCGGCGGGGACCGAGGACCGCGCUUCGGCAAGGAUGCUGGCGUAAUGGUCAUCAGCGACCCGUCUUGAAACACGGACCGAGGAGUCAAGCAUUAGUGCGAGUGUUUGGGUGUAAAACCCGCACGCGUAAUGAAAGUGAACGUAGGUGAGAGCUUCGGCGCAUCAUCGACCGAUCCUGAUGUUUUCGGAUGGAUUUGAGUAGGAGCAUUAACGCUUGGACCCGAAAGAUGGUGAACUAUACUUGAAUAGGGUGAAGCCAGAGGAAACUCUGGUGGAGGCUCGCAGCGGUUCUGACGUGCAAAUCGAUCGUCAAAUUUG
rnacentral:rRNA from 1 species